rfam:Thermococcus pacificus strain P-4, complete genome.
GCGCCCGAACAGGGCGCGACAAAACCCGAGCGCCAAGACGGCGGCGUCGGGGGGACAGGGUGCAAAGCACCCACGAUGAACCCCGCCCUCCAGCUCGGGUCACA